rnacentral:rRNA from 1 species
UAGGGAAUCUUCCGCAAUGGACGCAAGUCUGACGGAGCAACGCCGCGUGAGUGAAGAAGGAUUUCGGUUCGUAAAACUCUGUUGUUAGAGAAGAACAGCGCAUAGAGUAACUGUUAUGCGUGUGACGGUAUCUAACCAGAAAGCCACGGCUAACUACGUGCCAGCAGCCGCGGUAAUACGUAGGUGGCAAGCGUUGUCCGGAAUUAUUGGGCGUAAAGCGCGCGUAGGCGGUUUUUUAAGUCUGAUGUGAAAGCCCACGGCUCAACCGUGGAGGGUCAUUGGAAACUGGAAAACUUGAGUGCAGAAGAGGAGAGUGGAAUUCCAUGUGUAGCGGUGAAAUGCGUAGAUAUAUGGAGGAACACCAGUGGCGAAGGCGACUCUCUGGUCUGUAACUGACGCUGAGGCUCGAAAGCGUGGGUAGCAAACAGG